GAUGAACGCUGGCGGCGUGCCUAAUACAUGCAAGUCGAGCGAACAGAUAAGGAGCUUGCUCCUUUGACGUUAGCGGCGGACGGGUGAGUAACACGUGGGUAACCUACCUAUAAGACUGGGAUAACUUCGGGAAACCGGAGCUAAUACCGGAUAAUAUUUCGAACCGCAUGGUUCGAUAGUGGAAGAUGGUUUUGCUAUCACUUAUAGAUGGACCCGCGCCGUAUUAGCUAGUUGGUAAGGUAACGGCUUACCAAGGCGACGAUACGUAGCCGACCUGAGAGGGUGAUCGGCCACACUGGAACUGAGACACGGUCCAGACUCCUACGGGAGGCAGCAGUAGGGAAUCUUCCGCAAUGGGCGAAAGCCUGACGGAGCAACGCCGCGUGAGUGAUGAAGGUCUUCGGAUCGUAAAACUCUGUUAUUAGGGAAGAACAUACGUGUAGGUAACUGUGCACGUCUUGACGGUACCUAAUCAGAAAGCCACGGCUAACUACGUG
rnacentral:rRNA from 1 species